UGUAGGGUGUUGACAUCUUUGUUGUAACGUAAGCGUAGAUAAUGACAGAAAGCUAGUGACUGUGACGUUCGAUUGAAAACGUUACUCCAUUUAGAUCGGCUGAGAGCUUACAAAUGUAACGUUUAUUUGCACUCGAUUGCAAGUAAACCUGUUUGGUAAUAGUCUUCGGACACUUUUUAUUUCAUUGGCAGCAUUUUCUGUUUUUCAUUUAGGAGACGAGCCAUCUAACAAUGUGUCACUGAGUUUAUCCACAUUGGAAGACGACGUGCCUCAGUGGACAAAUGUUCUUCAGAUCGGGACUUUGUCGUCAGUUUUAUCUCAAGUAGUGCUUCAAACAAUCGAAUGUUUAGCGGAUACAAGGUGGGAACUACGAAGGAUGGGACAGCAGGUAAGUCGGUACUGUGUAACAUUAUCUUUUCAUUGACAAAAAUUGAGUAGAGAAUUUAUAGUAUAGCAAUGGAAUGUUUGGAAUGCUGGAAACACUCAAGUACUUGCCCCUGGACGUUAUAUCUCGAAAAGAAAUGGAGGAUCACACG